CAUAAAUGAAAGACUGUGAUGUCAAGAGGUGAUGUUGCUGGGAUGAGAAAGUAAAGCUGAGCAGGAGGGUGUGGUGCAGAGGACUAUGUGAGGUUGCUGGUAUAUACAGGCCCUCUAAGGAGCAAAUAGAGUAGAAGCUUGAAUGAGCAAGAGGGAGUCCCCUGGGGACUAAGGAAGAAGACUCCUCUUUAGAGAAAGUAUAGUGACUAUUAACAAGAAACCAGGCCUUUGCCUUCCCUUCCUGUGAGGGGCCUGAGAAUGGGGGCACUAAUGGAGGAAUUACCACGUCUACUUCCAAAGAAGGCAUUUACCUAAUUGCAAAGGAACACAUCCUGGCUGCAGACAAUAAAUGGCGUGUGAAGCUUCCAUGAAGUGAGAUGGAUGGAGCUCUCUGCUGCUAACCGGACCGUAACCGAGGUCAUUAAUCAUGCGAGGCACACCCAUUGCCAGUAAUGGACUUCACCCCGGAAAACUCCAACUCGAGAACUAGGAUGCCGGGUGGAACCUGCUGGAAGUCUGCAUGCAAAGAGAAAUGUUUUUGAUUAUAUUUACACAUCUGAUUUGAGCAGUACGUGGAAACCUAAUCAUAAUGAUAAUAACACGGUCAUUGGCUCUCAGAAUACUAAUCUUGGCUGCAUGAUAAGUGAUCCAAGGUGUGAUUCAGCCUUCAUUUUCUUUGUGAAGUCUUCCAAGACAAUGCUCUGCACCAUUCAAACCCCCUCCUGGAGGCUGUCUGAGGAGGCAGAAGUGCUCUGGGGCCAGGCAGGCUGGAUGACUUUGGGAAAGGAACUGUCUUCUCUGAGCCAGUUUCCUCUUCUGUAAAUGAGGCAGUACUACCUAUUUGCGUACUUGAGAUGAGCAUGAAAUGUAAUACUGUGUGUAA